AUUCCAGCUCCAGUAGCGUAUAUUAAAGUUGUUGCAGUUAAAAAGCUCGUAGUUGGAUUUCUGGUUUCACAGAACUGGCCUACUUCCUCAAGGUCGUGUGCGCCGUGUUUUGUGUACCAUCCUUCUAGAAAUUGUGUUCCAUCCCUUCACUGGGAUAGAUCCGAGAUCUAGAUCUUUUACUUUGAAGAAAUUAGAGUGUUCAAAGCAGGCUCGCGCUGUGAAUACAUUAGCAUGGAAUAAUAAUUUAGGACUUGGUAUCCUAUUUUGUUGGUUUUCAGGAUCUAAGUAAUGAUUGAUAGGGAUAGUUGGGGGUGCUAGUAUUUUGCGGCCAGAGGUGAAAUUCUGUGAUUCGCGAAAGACUAACUUAUGCGAAAGCAUUCACCAAGGAUGUCUUCAUUA
rnacentral:rRNA from 1 species